AACGAACGCUGGCGGCGUGCCUAAUACAUGCAAGUCGAACGCAGUUGAGAACGGGUGAGUAACGCGUAGGUAACUGCCUGGUAGCGGGGGAUAACCAUUGGAAACGAGAGCUAAUAACGCAUACUACCAGAUGGACCUGCGUUGUAUUAGCUAGUUGGUGGGGUAACGGCUCACCAAGGUAACGAUACAUAGACGACCUGGGAGGGGGAUCGGCCAACCUGGGACUGAGACACGGGCCAGACUCCUACGGGAGGCAGCAGUAGGGAAGCUUCGGCAAUGGACGGAAGUCUGACCGAGCAACGCCGCGGGAGUGAAGAAGGUUUUCGGAUCGUAAAGCUCUGUUGUAAGAGAAGCGGUAUCUUACCAGAAAGGGACGGCUAACUACGUGCCAGCCGCCGCGGUAAUUC
rnacentral:rRNA from 1 species